rnacentral:rRNA from 1 species
CAGCCGCCGCGGCAAUACCGGCGGCCCGAGUGGCGGUCACUAUUAUUGGGCUUAAAGCGUCCGUAGCCGGGUUGGGAAGUCCUCCGGGAAAUCUGGCCGCUUAACGGUCAGAAUGCCGGAGGAUACUCCCAGCCUAGGGAGCGGGGGAGGCCGAGGGGAUUCCCGGAGUAGGGGUGGAAUCCUAUAAUCCCGGGAGGACCACCUGUGGCGAAGGCGCUCGGCUGGAACGCGUCCGACGGUGAGGGACGAAGGCCAGGGGAGCAAACCGGAUUAGAUACCCGGGUAGUCCUGGCUGUAAACGAUGCGGACUUUGUGUCGGACAAGCUAUGAGCUUGUCCGGUGCCGGAGGGAAACCGUUAAGUCCGCCGCCUGGGGAGUACGGCCGCAAGGCUGAAACUUAAAGGAAUUGGCGGG